CAGCAGCCGCGGUAAUACGUAGGGUGCGAGCGUUAAUCGGAAUUACUGGGCGUAAAGCGUGCGCAGGCGGUUGUGUAAGACAGGUGUGAAAUCCCCGGGCUUAACCUGGGAACUGCGCUUGUGACUGCACAGCUAGAGUAUGGCAGAGGGGGGUGGAAUUCCACGUGUAGCAGUGAAAUGCGUAGAGAUGUGGAGGAACACCGAUGGCGAAGGCAGCCCCCUGGGCCAAUACUGACGCUCAUGCACGAAAGCGUGAGGAGCAAACAGGAUUAGAUACCCCUGUAGUCCCUGUCUCUUAUCC
rnacentral:rRNA from 1 species